rnacentral:misc_RNA from 1 species
GAUGAAGAACGCAGCGAAAUGCGAUACGUAAUGUGAAUUGCAAAUUCAGUGAAUCAUCGAGUCUUUGAACGCACAUUGCGCCCCCUGGUAUUCCGGGGGGCAUGCCUGUCCAAGCGUCAUUGCUGCCCUCAAGCACGGCUUGUGUGUUGGGCCCCGUCCUCCGAUCCCGGGGGACGGGCCCGAAAGGCAGCGGCGGCACCGCGUCCGGUCCUCGAGCGUAUGGGGCUUUGUCACCCGCUCUGUAGGCCCGGCCGGCGCUUGCCGAUCAACCCAAAUUUUUAUCCAGGUUGACCUCGGAUCAGGUAGGGAUACCCGCUGAACUUAAGCAUAUCAAUAAGCGGAGGA